rnacentral:tRNA from 1 species
UCCUUGGUAGCUCAGUAGGUAGAGAAUAUGCCUGCAGUGCAGCAGACCCAGGUUCAAUCCCUGGGUCAGGAA